GGGGUUGUGGCUCAGUGGUAGAGCGCUUGCCUAGCAUGUAUGAGGCCCUGGGUUCAAUCCUCAGCACCACA
rnacentral:tRNA from 1 species